rnacentral:rRNA from 1 species
UACGUAGGGUGCAAGCGUUUGUCCGGAAUUAUUGGGCGUAAAGAGCUCGUAGGCGGUUCGUCGCGUCGGCUGUGAAAACCUGAGGCUCAACCUCAGGCCUGCAGUCGAUACGGGCGGACUUGAGUACUGCAGGGGAGACUGGAAUUCCUGGUGUAGCGGUGAAAUGCGCAGAUAUCAGGAGGAACACCGGUGGCGAAGGCGGGUCUCUGGGCCGAUACUGACGCUGAGGAGCGAAAGCGUGGGGGAGCAAACAGG